UACAGAGGUCUCAAGCGUUGUUCGGAUUCAUUGGGCGUAAAGGGUGCGUAGCGGCGCCGUAAGUCUGGUGUGAAAUCCCGGAGCUUAACUCCGGAACUGCACUGGAUACUGCGGUGCUCGAGGACUGGAGAGGAGAUUGGAAUUCACGGUGUAGCAGUGAAAUGCGUAGAUAUCGUGAGGAAGACCAGUGGCGAAGGCGGAUCUCUGGACAGUUCCUGACGCUGAGGCACGAAGGCCAGGGGAGCAAACGGGG
rnacentral:rRNA from 1 species